rnacentral:rRNA from 1 species
ACGGGGGGUGCAAGCGUUAUUCGGAUUUACUGGGCGUAAAGCGCGCGCAGGCGGUUUUGUAAGUCAGAUGUGAAAGCCCUGGGCUCAACCCGGGAAGUGCAUCUGAUACUGCAAGACUUGAGUAUGGGAGAGGGAAGUGGAAUUCCUGGUGUAGAGGUGAAAUUCGUAGAUAUCAGGAGGAACAUCGGUGGCGAAGGCGACUUCCUGGACCAAUACUGACGCUGAGGCGCGAAGGCGUGGGGAGCAAACAGGAUUAGAUACCCUGGUAGUCCACGCAGUAAACGGUGAUCACUAGGUGUAGCGGGUAUUGACCCCUGCUGUGCCGCAGCUAACGCAUUAAGUGAUCCGCCUGGGGAGUACGAUCGCAAGAUUA